GGUUAAGCGACUAAGCGUACACGGUGGAUGCCCUGGCAGUCAGAGGCGAUGAAGGACGUGCUAAUCUGCGAUAAGCGUCGGUAAGGUGAUAUGAACCGUUAUAACCGGCGAUUUCCGAAUGGGGAAACCCAGUGUGAUUCGUCACACUAUCAUUAACUGAAUCCAUAGGUUAAUGAGGCGAACCGGGGGAACUGAAACAUCUAAGUACCCCGAGGAAAAGAAAUCAACCGAGAUUCCCCCAGUAGCGGCGAGCGAACGGGGAGGAGCCCAGAGCCUGAAUCAGUGUGUGUGUUAGUGGAAGCGUCUGGAAAGGCGCGCGAUACAGGGUGACAGCCCCGUACACAAAAAUGCACAUGCUGUGAGCUCGAUGAGUAGGGCGGGACACGUGGUAUCCUGUCUGAAUAUGGGGGGACCAUCCUCCAAGGCUAAAUACUCCUGACUGACCGAUAGUGAACCAGUACCGUGAGGGAAAGGCGAAAAGAACCCCGGCGAGGGGAGUGAAAAAGAACCUGAAACCGUGUACGUACAAGCAGUGGGAGCACAGAGCAAUCUGUGUGACUGCGUACCUUUUGUAUAAUGGGUCAGCGACUUAUAUUCUGUAGCAAGGUUAACCGAAUAGGGGAGCCGAAGGGAAACCGAGUCUUAACUGGGCGUUAAGUUGCAGGGUAUAGACCCGAAACCCGGUGAUCUAGCCAUGGGCAGGUUGAAGGUUGGGUAACACUAACUGGAGGACCGAACCGACUAAUGUUGAAAAAUUAGCGGAUGACUUGUGGCUGGGGGUGAAAGGCCAAUCAAACCGGGAGAUAGCUGGUUCUCCCCGAAAGCUAUUUAGGUAGCGCCUCGUGAAUUCAUCUCCGGGGGUAGAGCACUGUUUCGGCAAGGGGGUCAUCCCGACUUACCAACCCGAUGCAAACUGCGAAUACCGGAGAAUGUUAUCACGGGAGACACACGGCGGGUGCUAACGUCCGUCGUGAAGAGGGAAACAACCCAGACCGCCAGCUAAGGUCCCAAAGUCAUGGUUAAGUGGGAAACGAUGUGGGAAGGCCCAGACAGCCAGGAUGUUGGCUUAGAAGCAGCCAUCAUUUAAAGAAAGCGUAAUAGCUCACUGGUCGAGUCGGCCUGCGCGGAAGAUGUAACGGGGCUAAACCAUGCACCGAAGCUGCGGCAGCGACACUGUGUGUUGUUGGGUAGGGGAGCGUUCUGUAAGCCUGUGAAGGUGUGCUGUGAGGCAUGCUGGAGGUAUCAGAAGUGCGAAUGCUGACAUAAGUAACGAUAAAGCGGGUGAAAAGCCCGCUCGCCGGAAGACCAAGGGUUCCUGUCCAACGUUAAUCGGGGCAGGGUGAGUCGACCCCUAAGGCGAGGCCGAAAGGCGUAGUCGAUGGGAAACAGGUUAAUAUUCCUGUACUUGGUGUUACUGCGAAGGGGGGACGGAGAAGGCUAUGUUGGCCGGGCGACGGUUGUCCCGGUUUAAGCGUGUAGGCUGGUUUUCCAGGCAAAUCCGGAAAAUCAAGGCUGAGGCGUGAUGACGAGGCACUACGGUGCUGAAGCAACAAAUGCCCUGCUUCCAGGAAAAGCCUCUAAGCAUCAGGUAACAUCAAAUCGUACCCCAAACCGACACAGGUGGUCAGGUAGAGAAUACCAAGGCGCUUGAGAGAACUCGGGUGAAGGAACUAGGCAAAAUGGUGCCGUAACUUCGGGAGAAGGCACGCUGAUAUGUAGGUGAAGUCCCUCGCGGAUGGAGCUGAAAUCAGUCGAAGAUACCAGCUGGCUGCAACUGUUUAUUAAAAACACAGCACUGUGCAAACACGAAAGUGGACGUAUACGGUGUGACGCCUGCCCGGUGCCGGAAGGUUAAUUGAUGGGGUCAGCGCAAGCGAAGCUCUUGAUCGAAGCCCCGGUAAACGGCGGCCGUAACUAUAACGGUCCUAAGGUAGCGAAAUUCCUUGUCGGGUAAGUUCCGACCUGCACGAAUGGCGUAAUGAUGGCCAGGCUGUCUCCACCCGAGACUCAGUGAAAUUGAACUCGCUGUGAAGAUGCAGUGUACCCGCGGCAAGACGGAAAGACCCCGUGAACCUUUACUAUAGCUUGACACUGAACAUUGAGCCUUGAUGUGUAGGAUAGGUGGGAGGCUUUGAAGUGUGGACGCCAGUCUGCAUGGAGCCGACCUUGAAAUACCACCCUUUAAUGUUUGAUGUUCUAACGUGGACCCGUGAUCCGGGUUGCGGACAGUGUCUGGUGGGUAGUUUGACUGGGGCGGUCUCCUCCUAAAGAGUAACGGAGGAGCACGAAGGUUGGCUAAUCCUGGUCGGACAUCAGGAGGUUAGUGCAAUGGCAUAAGCCAGCUUGACUGCGAGCGUGACGGCGCGAGCAGGUGCGAAAGCAGGUCAUAGUGAUCCGGUGGUUCUGAAUGGAAGGGCCAUCGCUCAACGGAUAAAAGGUACUCCGGGGAUAACAGGCUGAUACCGCCCAAGAGUUCAUAUCGACGGCGGUGUUUGGCACCUCGAUGUCGGCUCAUCACAUCCUGGGGCUGAAGUAGGUCCCAAGGGUAUGGCUGUUCGCCAUUUAAAGUGGUACGCGAGCUGGGUUUAGAACGUCGUGAGACAGUUCGGUCCCUAUCUGCCGUGGGCGCUGGAGAACUGAGGGGGGCUGCUCCUAGUACGAGAGGACCGGAGUGGACGCAUCACUGGUGUUCGGGUUGUCAUGCCAAUGGCACUGCCCGGUAGCUAAAUGCGGAAGAGAUAAGUGCUGAAAGCAUCUAAGCACGAAACUUGCCCCGAGAUGAGUUCUCCCUGACCCUUUAAGGGUCCUGAAGGAACGUUGAAGACGACGACGUUGAUAGGCCGGGUGUGUAAGCGCAGCGAUGCGUUGAGCUAACCGGUACUAAUGAACCGUGAGGCUUAACCUUAC
rnacentral:rRNA from 1 species